rnacentral:misc_RNA from 1 species
GAGCGCAUCAUGGGCAAGAAACCACCAUCGAAGAAGGGCAGUGCCGGCGAUGUCGCGAUGCCUCAACCAGAAGAGACCGCUGCCAUUGCCGCCGCCAGCACGUUGAGCCCUCACACCAUUCGUCAACGCACGUGGGAGAAACGUGUGGAUGGCGCGGUGAUCGAGAUGCGGCAUGUGCAGCAGCUCCUCCAGAAGUACACAGUCGAGGUGAACACCGUGAAGCGGGAGUUGGAGGAGCUCACGUACACCGCCGCCGCGCUCUGGGCAGCAAAUCCGGAUGAGCUCCCUGCACAGUAUAAAGACAAGCAGCAGUCGUCGCUGCAGCGGGCGAACAGUCCAGCCAGCGCUGCAGGCCGGUCAUCCGACACCACCCCGACAAAGCGGCGCGGUGGACCAGACGCCACAUCGCCUUCUGCGAGUCUCGGAGGCGACGCCCUCAGUGGAAUCUCAGAAGCGGCCCUCGAAAGCGUGGAGCAGACACUAUCACAACUCUCCCCGGCGCAGCGGGCGAAGGUGUCGGCAGCGCUCCAGUCGCUCUUCUAUGCACCCCCAGCUGCGCCGUCCGCGGAAGUCAUGGACGGCGCUGGUGUCGAUUUUGCCGCCGACCCGCCGUCCACAGCGGUAGAUGGUACAGCUCAGCAAAAGCCAGCACCACCGGCAAAGUCUGGGAAGGCGGCGGGCGCCGUCGCAGACGCCACUGCGACGGCGGCGACCAGCGAUGGCAAGCCGUCGACGCCUGCUACCGUGCGGCGCCAUUGCAUCCCACCGUCGCUCCUUCUCGCGAUGAAGGAGCUGCAGGCGAGGCGGAUCAAUCUAGAAGAGCGGCUGACAAGGGCCACCAAUGCUACCGCCCAGCAGCUGCAGCGGUUUCAGCUGCUGCAGGAGGAGCUGAUGGUCUCGCAGUACGGCCUGGAUGCGGCACGGCACGAUCCGCAGAAGCAGGCCCAGCCGCAGCAAGCACCAUCCGAAGGUGUUCCCGAGCCGUCGUAAAGUGCCGUGGGGGCAAGGGGGAGUCUACCUGCUGUGCCUUUGCCUGCUGUACGUCGUGUGGUAGAGCUGGCGCCUCUAGCCUCGAAGCGCCCCUUUGGCUUUGCCUUUUACGCCUCAUCAAAUCCCUCGCGUCUCCCUCCCCAAAGGCCAUACUCUUCCUUUCCCUGCCAAACGACAGUGGUGCGCAGGUGUGUCUUGGCGGGGGAAGGGGGGAGAAAGGCAUCGCACACGGCAAAAGACAACUGUCAGCAGUGCCUCGCUUUCCCACGCACCCCCCCUUGCCCCUUGCUGCAACGCAUACCCGCUGGCUGUGUGGAGUGCAAGGUAAGACGCUGCAAGGGCUGCAGAUGAAGGGGAAGAUGGUCGGUGGCUCACAUGUAUAGGAGGCUCCGGCAGGGCCUUGAUUUUGGUGCCCACGAAGCCAAAAAAACAAGUAACACAGCAGCAUGCAAAGCAACUGCUUGCUCUCCUCGUCACACCGCCAGAGAAGACAAGCAGCCGCAUCGGAUCCGUAGUGAUGCGUGUGUGCCAGUGUGCAUUCGUGCGCGGUAAAGAAAGCAACUGUCUAGGCUGUGCACACACGCAGGUGCGAGCGGUCUUGUUUUGCUGUUUCGCACAUCGCGAGGGGCAUGCAAUCAGUAUGCGUACGCGCCUCACGCAUUGGCCUACCCACCCCCUCCCUCUCGUCUCGUGUUGCACCUCUUCCGCAUUCGGCAUUUGUGUGUCCUUCCAUGCGCCUCUCCCUCUCCCUCUCUUCUUGGCGAGGUGCGCCGUCUCACAG